GAUGAACGCUGGCGGCGUGCCUAAUACAUGCAAGUCGAGCGAACGGACGAGAAGCUUGCUUCUCUGAUGUUAGCGGCGGACGGGUGAGUAACACGUGGAUAACCUACCUAUAAGACUGGGAUAACUUCGGGAAACCGUAGCUAAUACCGGAUAAUAUUUUGAACCGCAUGGUUCAAAAGUGAAAGACGGUCUUGCUGUCACUUAUAGAUGGAUCCGCGCUGCAUUAGCUAGUUGGUAAGGUAACGGCUUACCAACGCAACGAUGCAUAGCCGACCUGAGAGGGUGAUCGGCCACACGGGAAGUGAGAAACGGCCGAGACUCCUACGGGAGGAAGCGGUAGGGAAUCUUCCGCGAUGGGGGAAAGCGUGACAGAGCAACGCCGCGUGAGUGAUGAAGGACUACGGAUCGUAAAACUCUGUUAUUAGUGAAGAACAUAUGUGUAAGUAACUGUGCACAUCUUGACGGUACCUAAUCAGAAAGCCACGGCUAACUACGUG
rnacentral:rRNA from 1 species